rnacentral:rRNA from 1 species
UUUUAUGGUCAAGCUACUAAGGGCACAUGGUGGAUGCCUUGGCGCAGGAGGGCGACGAAGGACGUGGUAAGCUGCGAUAAGCCUCGGUGAGCCGCAAACAGGCGUUGACCCGGGGAUCUCCGAAUGGGGCAACCUGUCACGAGUAAUAUCGUGACAUCCGUCUCUGAAUCAAAUAGGGGACGGCAGGCCAACGGGGGGAAGUGAACCAUCUCAGUACCCCUAGGAAAAGAAAGUCAACGCGAUUCCCCGAGUAGCGGCGAGCGAAAGGGGAACAGCCCAAACCCGAUGUAUGUCAAAGCUCGUGAGCGUUGUACAUCGGGGGUAGCGGGGGCAGGCGUGGUUCCGUCACGACGGAAUCGCGAAGUCACAAAUCGAUGGAUUAGCCGAACGAUCUGGAAAGAUCGGCGGUACGAGGUAAUAGCCCUGUAGGCGAAAAUCCUUCGACUUCGAGCCUGCUUCCCAAGUACCACGGGACACGGGAAAUCCUGUGGGAAUCCGGGAGGACCAUCUUCCAAGGCUAAAUACCAACCUGCGACCGAUAGUGAACUAGUACCGUGAGGGAAAGGUGAAAAGAACCCCUUUUAGGGGAGUGAAAUAGUACCUGAAACCAUGUGUCUACAAGCAGUGGAAGGGCUAUGACCUCUUUCGGGAGGUCACGCCCGACCGCGUGCCUUUUGCAUAAUGAGCCGGCUAGUUAGUCUGUGCAGCAAGGCUAAGCGAUAAGCGAGCCGUAGCGAAAGCGAGUCUUAAAUGGGCGAUCAGUUGCACGGACUAAACGCGAAGCGGGAUGAUCUACCCUUGGCCAGGGUGAAGCAUAUGUAACAAUAUGUGGAGGCCCGAACCAGUGUUGGUUGAAAACAGCUUGGAUGAGCUGAGGGUAGGGGUGAAAGGCCAAUCAAAUUCCGUUAUAGCUCGUUCUCCCCGAAAUAGCUUUAGGGCUAGCCUCGCAUGUUUGUUCUCGGAGGUAGAGAACUGGAUGGACUAGGGGCCUUACCAGGUUACUGAAUCCA